rnacentral:lncRNA from 1 species
GGAGGCUGCCGGGGCCGCCUAAAGAAGAGGCUGUGCUUUGGGGCUCCGGCUCCUCAGAGAGCCUCGGCUAGAUCAUUCCUUGAGGACAGGACAGUGCUUGUUUAAGGCUAUAUUUCUGCUGUCUGAGCAGCAACAGGUCUUCGAGAUCAACAUGAUGUUCAUAAUCCCAAGAUGUUGCCAUUUAUGUUCUCAGAAGCAAGCAGAGGCAUGAUGGAGGGUCUCUUCCUUCAUCUUGAUCUGAAGGAUGAACAAAGGCUUGAGCAGUGCGCUUUAGAAGAUAAACUGCAGCAUGAAGGCCCCCGAUGUUCACCCAGACUACAUGGACCUUUCGCCACACAUGUCCCAUUCCAGAUAAGGCCUGGCACACACAAAAAACAUAAGUCAUUAGGCUACCAGUCUGAUUCUAAAACAACCUAAAAUCUUCCCACUUAAAUGCUAUGGGUGGUGGGUUGGAAAGUUGACUCAGAAAAUCACUUGCUGUUUUUAGAGAGGAUCUGGGUUCAGUUUCUGAUACAUUGUGGCUUACAACUAUAACUCCAGUUCUAGGGGGUCCAUCCAACAUCCUCUUCUGUUGAGGGCACCAAAUAAAUGUAUUGUGUACAAAAAAAAAAAA